CACAGCUGCUGCGAACUGGAAGGCUUGUGAGAGUCAUUUCCUCUCAGGUCUGUUUAUAAUAGUGAUGUCCCAGGUCUGCAUUCUUUUGGCUUCCAUUUUGACCUUUUUUUAAAAAUCCAGGAUCUUUUCAGCCCGUUCUAGACUUCAGGACAUAAGAGCAACAACAAUAAACGUGUGGACACAGGUGGAAUAAUCAGCCUGGUGCUCACGACUCACAUGUCAAAACUCCAAAGACCAAACUAAAUAGCGCUUGACACCGCAGUAAGUAGUUCACAGUUCUUGUUGUUCAUCCAGACAACAACAUUUCUUUGCUCUAUCUAAGGUUAUCUUUCUCUGAGUUUGUUGCUUCAGUGAUCCGGCAAGAUUUCAUUGUUUGUUUAUAUCAAAGCUGGAACAAGGCUGCAAAGAUCACUGACCAAUCACCUCAGCUCAUUGGAUGUGAAUAAUGACCGAUUUACACUCAAAAUCCUGUCUACUGUAUCUGUAAGCUGAAAUCUGAAACAUUAAACUGGUUCAGUCUCGUAUGGAGUAUGGUGUCGAAGCCGUGUCGUAAAGGAACAGUUGCGGUGUUGCCUUGACUGCUUUGCAAGAAAAGGAGAUCUGUUACACCACGUACCGGUCCCUAGGUCCCAUACCGGUCAAUAGGUCAUUAGGUACCGGGCCACAGUGAAAUACAGUGGGAAGAAAUGUACUUCUGUUUUACCAAUAAUAUAUAAUAUAAGUCUAGAAGAUGUUUUAUUAUAAAAAUACAAUAACAAUGACGCAGUAUUACCGGUCCGCAGUAAUAGCUGAUACCCGCCGACUGGUCCUUCGUACAAAAAAAA